rnacentral:rRNA from 1 species
UACGAAGGGGGCUAGCGUUGUUCGGAAUCACUGGGCGUAAAGGGCGCGUAGGCGGCCUGAUAAGUCGGGGGUGAAAGCCUGUGGCUCAACCACAGAAUUGCCUUCGAUACUGUUAGGCUUGAGACCGGAAGAGGUAAGUGGAACUGCGAGUGUAGAGGUGAAAUUCGUAGAUAUUCGCAAGAACACCAGUGGCGAAGGCGGCUUACUGGUCCGGUUCUGACGCUGAGGCGCGAAAGCGUGGGGAGCAAACAGG